rnacentral:rRNA from 1 species
UACAGGGGGUGCAAACGUUGCUCGGAAUUAUUGGGCGUAAAGCGCGCGUAGGCGGCUACUUAUGUCGGAUGUGAAAGCCCUUGGCUCAACUGAGGAAGUGCACCCGAAACUGAGUAGCUGGAGUACGAAAGAGGGUCGCGGAAUUCCCGGUGUAGAGGUGAAAUUCGUAGAUAUCGGGAGGAACACCGGUGGCGAAGGCGGCGACCUGGGUAGAUACUGACGCUGAGGCGCGAAAGCGUGGGGAGCAAACAGG